AGACUUACCUGGCGCCGGGUUCAGGGUGAUCAGCAAGGCUCUGACCCCAGGUGGAGGCUCAGCAUUGUAUUGUAUGUUAAAUACAUGUGUGUAUUCUGCCCGCGUGUGAUGUCA
rnacentral:snRNA from 9 species